rnacentral:rRNA from 1 species
GUCCACACGGUAACGAUGAAUACUCGCUGUAGGCGAUAUACAGUCUGCGGCCAAGCGAAGCAUUAAGUAUUCCACCUGGGAGUACGCCGGCAACGGUGAAACUCAAAGGAAUUGACGGGGCCCGCACAAGCGGAGGAACAUGUGGUUUAAUUCGAUGAUACGCGAGGAACCUUACCCGGGCUUAAAUUGCAACCGAAUAUGGCGGAAACGCUAUAGCUAGCAAUAGCGGUUGUGAAGGUGCUGCAUGGUUGUCGU